GGCUGGCAGGGGAGUGGUUAGGGGGUGAUCAGGCUGGCAGGCAGAAGCGGUUAGGGGCAAUAGGAAAGCAGGCAGGCGAGCAGUUGGGAGCCAGCAGUCCUGAGAGGGAUUGUUAGAGGGAUGUACGACUGCAUGUUUAGGCCCGAUUGUACCGGGAUCGGGCCUAAACAGGCAGUUGGACAUCCCUCAAGAGGUCCCAGAUUGGAGAGGCUGGGCUGAGGGUCCCUCCUCCUCUAUCCCCGGUGCAUGAAUUUCAUGCACCGGGCCUCUACUCUAGAAAUAAUUACAGAGUCACAUGCAGCUGAAAGACAUAAUACAAGAUCCCAUGUACUAUUGCCUAGCUUCCCCCGGUGAUGACAUCUUGCAAAAUUGUAGUGUAUAGAACCAAGGUCCUGACAUUGAGAGUCAAGAUACAGAACAUUUCCAUCACCACAAGGAUUCCUCCUGUUGCCUUUCUCUCACUUCCACCCUAGAUCCUGGCAACCACUAAUCUAAUCUGCUCUCCAGUUUUAUAAUUUAUUUAUUGCAAGAAUGUUAUACAACUGGAAUCAUACAGUAUGUGACCUUUUGGCAUUGAGGGUUUUCAUUCAGCCUAAUUCCCUAGAGUAGGGAGAUUUACCCAAGUUGUUACCCAUAUGAAUAGUUUGUUCCUAUUCAUUGCACGGAUACUUUUCCACUGUAUGGAUAUAUCACACUUUAUCCCUUUAUCAGUUGAUGAAUAUUUGGGUUGUUUCCACUUUUUCGCUAUUUUGAAGAAAGCUGCGAUGCACUUUUGUGUGAACACAGGUUUCAUUUCUCUGGGAUAAAUGCCCAGUGAUAUCAUUUGAAUGAUGGCAUAAUAUUUCAUUGUAUAACAUUGUUUUUAUUGCAUGAAGUAAAUGUCAUUUAUUUAGCUUAUUAUCUCUAGAUGGAUUGUUACACCCUCUGCCCACUCCCACCCCCAGUUUUUCUGCAGUUAUAAAUAUCACUGAUGACACUUUUAUAGUUAAGUGUUGUAUGUACAUCUUUUUUUUUUUUUUUUUUGCGAUUUUUAAACUUUAUUUUUGCUGUCGCCACUAUUACAGAUGUCCCUAUUGUUCUCCCCUUUGUCCACCUCUACCUAGCCCCUGUUCAUGGGCAUCUUUUUUUUUUUUUUUAGAAAUGAAGUGGAUGCCUCAGAGUAUGCAGAAUUCUAAAGCUUUGCUUCUUUGCUUUGUUUCUCUUUUUCCUUUCAGGAAAAAAACCAAAAACCUUUUCAACUCCUGUCAGCAGUGAAUGGAAGUGCUCAUUUCUCAUACCCUUGCCAACACAGAGCAGUUACUUUCAGAGAUCUGCAGUUGUGCCAUGCCCCUGUGGGCAGCGCACACUCCCCACUUGACUGUGGGUUUACUAGUCCCACUUCACCCAGGAAAGUCUUUCAGAAUGGUAGAUGCCGCCAGGAUCUUGUGUUUGCAUGAAGUUUGGGACUCUGCUGAGGUGGUUUUGCAGAGCCUCAGAGGAUUUGUUACAUGAUGGAUAUAAAUAAUUAUAAGAAAUCACUCCAGGUCCUCACUCCUGUUCUUGUGUGACGUCUCCUAUUGUGCUGUGUCUAGAAGAAGC